AGUGAUGCAUAGGUUAUGUGCCCUUUAGUCUGGGAUAGCCAUUGGAAACGAUGGAUAAAACUGGAUAGGAUAUAGAGGAAGAAUCUUUUAUAUUUAAAAGAGAGAUCUGCUUAAGGAGGGGCCUGUGGCGCAUUAGCUAGUUGGUGGGGUAAGGGCCUACCAAGGCGAUGAUGCGUAGCCGGACUGAGAGGUUGAACGGCCACAAUGGAACUGAGAACGGUCCAUACUCCUACGGAAGGCAGCAG
rnacentral:rRNA from 1 species